GGAUAGGUGGGAGGCUUUGAAGCUGGAACGCUAGUUCCAGUGGAGCCGUCCUUGAAAUACCACCCUGGUAAUAUUGAGGUUCUAACUCUGUCCCGUUAUCCGGGACGAGGACCAUGUCUGGUGGGUAGUUUGACUGGGGCGGUCUCCUCCUAAAGAGUAACGGAGGAGUACGAAGGUGCGCUCAGACCGGUCGGAAAUCGGUCGUAGAGUAUAAAGGCAAAAGCGCGCUUGACUGCGAGACAGACACGUCGAGCAGGUACGAAAGUAGGUCUUAUUGAUCCGGUGGUUCUGUAUGGAAGGGCCAUCGCUCAACGGAUAAAAGGUAC
rnacentral:rRNA from 1 species